UACAUACCUAUACUGUAUAUACCUUUAUAUACAUAUAUACAUACAUAUAUACCUAUACUGUAUAUACCUUUAUAUACAUAUAUACCUAUACUGUAUAUACAUAUAUACAUACAUAUAUACCUAUACCUAUACUGACUUCCUGUGCACUUAAGAUGUGACUUUAAGGUUUUACUACUAAGGUAUAAAAUACUACAUGGUCUAGCUCCAGCCUAUCUUGCAGAUUGUAUUGUACCAUAUGUCCCGGCAAGAAAUCUGCGUUCUAAGAACUCCGGCUUAUUAGUGAUUCCCAGAGCCCAAAGAAAGUCUGGGGGCUAAAGAGCGUCUUCUAUUGGGGCUCCAGUACUCUGGAAUGUUCUAGCAGUAACAGUUAGAGAUGCGACCUCAGUAGAAGCAUUUAAGUCCCAUCUUAAAACUCAUUGGUAUACUCUAGCCUUUAAAUAGACCCCCUUUUAGACCAGUUGAUCUGCCGUUUCUUUUCUACUCUGCACAGAUUCGGUGACCAAAGAUGAGCGCUAGCUGUCCAAAGUUCGGACCCAGGGUGGACCACUCAUCUGUGCAUCAGUGCGCUGAUCUCCUGUCUCCACUUAAGUGCACCAACAGUAGAGUGGCUGUUUCUCUACUUCGGAAGCUUCAAGUCACGACCGGGUCGCAUGGCGAUGCAGGAUUUGUUCUCCCAGGAUGCAAAGGACGAAUCCGGACACGACUUGCAGGACAUGCUUGAAGUAUUUCAACUGACGGUACACACCUCCUCUUGGCCUUGUCCACUUGAAACUGUCUUUGCAACGCCAGGCAGGGAAGGCCAGGGGGUCAAACCGGACUCUUGCGCCGCUCCCUUGGCUGUGGGGACAUCUGCUGGACCGCACAGUCGGCGUUGAGGCUGCAGGGAUCAAGAUGAAAACUCCUGGCUGUCCUCAAACAGCAACAAAGAGAAAUACAU